AGAUUGAACGCUGGCGGCGUGCCUAACACAUGCAAGUCGAGCGGUAACAGGUGUAGCAAUACAUGCUGACGAGCGGCGAACGGGUGAGUAAUGCUUUGGAAUCUUCCCAGUAGUGGGGAAUAACCAGUCGAAAGAUUGGCUAAUACCGCAUACGUCUGAAAAGGGAAGCGGGGGCUCGUAAGACCUCGCGCUAUUGGAUGAGCCAAAGUCGGAUUAGCUAGUUGGUGGGUAAUGGCCUACCAAGGCGACAAUCCGUAGCUGGUCUGAGAGGACGACCAGCCACACCGGAACUGAGACACGGUCCGGACUCCUACGGGAGGCAGCAGUGGGGGAAUAUUGGACAAUGGGGGAAACCCUGAUCCAGCGACGCCGCGUGUGUGAAGAAGGCCUGCGGGUUGUAAGCACUUUUAGUGGGGACAAAAGCUACGGACUAAUACUCUGUGGUCUUGAUUUAACCCAAAGAAAAGCACCGGCUAACUCUGUGCCAGCAGCCGC
rnacentral:rRNA from 1 species